UCUGGUUGAUCCUGCCAGUAGGCGUACGCUUGUCUUAAAGAUUAAGCCAUGCAUGUUCUAAGUUCAUACAGUGAAAUUGUGAGACUGCGGAAGGCUCAGUAUAUCAGUUAUAAUCUAUUUGAUUGUUUUUUCCAUUGGAUAACCGUGGGAAAUCUAGAGCUAAUACAUGCAGUUUUUUGGGUGGCGUUAAAACCAUCCAAAGCAUUUAUUAGAUCAAAACCAACUAUAAUGAUGCAUGAAAGUGUAUUGUUAUAAGGCGAAUCUAGAUAACUUUGCUGAUCGUAUGGCCUUGAGCCGGCGACAUUUCAAUUGAAUUUCUGCCCUAUCAACUUGUUGGUAAGGUAGUGGCUUACCAAGGUUACAACGGGUAACGGGGAAUCAGGGUUCGAUUCCGGAGAGGGAGCCUGAGAAAUGGCUACCACAUCCAAGGGAGGCAGCAGGCGCGCAAAUUACCCAAUCCAGACACUGGGAGGUGGUGACGAGAAAUACUAGAUGGUUUCCAUUUGGAUGCCAUACUGGAAUGGACGUAAUUUAAGCAUUUCGAUGAGUAACAACUGGAGGGCAAGUCUGGUGCCAGCAGCCGCGGUAAUACCAGCUCCAGUAGUGUACCUUAAAGUUGCUGCGUUUAAAACGCUCGUAGUUGGAUUACGCAGUAUAAUCUAGUCGAUUGGCAUGAUGUUACGCCAAAUUUAAUUAAUCUAAUUUUUAACUACGGUGUAUCCUAGUUAAAAAAGAGAUUAAUUAAAGUGAUACGUGUCGAUUUACAGCUAGUUUAUGCUACUUUUUCGUGAGGAUGUAAAUUGGCCUUUAAUGCGUUGAUUUUCGUGUCUCACGAAGUGUGCCUUGAAUAAAUCAGAGUGCUCAAAGCAGGCUUUAGCUUGAAUGUUGAUAGCAUGGAACGAACAAUUGUGUUGAAAGUGUUUUAAAGAGCUCUUAGAUAAAUUAUGUUUAUUUAUUGUUGUUUUUUAAAACACAGCACCAACCACCAUUAUCGGAUGUUGGUUUCCGUGAUGGGGUGAUGAUUAAAAGGAGCGGUUGGGGGCAUUGGUAUUUUGCCGCGAGAGGUGAAAUUCUUGGACCGGCAAAGGACUAACAAAUGCGAAGGCAUCUGUCAAGACCGUUUCCAUUAAUCAAGAACGAUAGUGAGAGGUUCGAAGACGAUUAGAUACCGUCCUAGUUCUCACCGUAAACUAUGCCAACCCGGGAUCAGUUUCGAGCUAAAAAAUGCUCGUGGUUGGUCCCCCUGGGAAACCUUAAGUUUUUAGGUUACGGGGGGAGUAUGGUUGCAAGGCUGAAACUUAAAGGAAUUGACGGAAGGGCACCACCAGGAGUGGAGCCUGCGGCUUAAUUUGACUCAACACGGGAAAACUCACUUGGUCCAGACAUCGAGAGGAUAGACAGACUGAUAGAUCUUUCUUGAUACGGUGGAUGGUGGUGCAUGGCCGUUCUUAGUUCGUGGAGUGAUCUGUCAGGUUGAUUCCGGUAACGGACGAGACCAUAAUCUUCAUUUAUGGAGCUGGGGAAGACUAUGUGUUAAUUAUUUCGGUAAUUGGCAUAUAGUUGAUGGUAAAAUGAGUCUUACAUGGAUGAUAGAAACUUUGUAGGUUGAGGUUUACACCGAAAUUUGCUUUGAUUUUAUUAUCUGUAAUGGGACACAUUUUCCCCCUAGUCAAACAUCGCAAAAAACUCGUUUUUUUGUAAUGUACUAUGGAGAGACAACCAAAUAUACAUUAGAAAUUGGAGGAAGCAUUUGGCGAUAACAGGUCUGUGAUGCCCUUAGAUGUCCAAGGCCGCACGCGCGCUACAAUGAUAGUAACAAUGAGUUUCUGGGUCGAAAGACUUGGGUAAUCUUUUUAAUUACUAUCGUGAUGGGGAUUGAUCGUUGCAAUUAUCGGUCAUGAAAGAGGAAUUCCUAGUAUGCGUACGUCAUUAGCGUAUGCAGAUUAAGUCCCUGCCCUUUGUACACACCGCCCGUCGCUACUACCGAGUGAAUCGUGUCAUGAUGCCUUGGGACUGGACGUUAAUUUAGUGUGUUUCACAUUUUAAUGACGCUAGGAUCAAUGUAAAAUGGCGCAAUUUCGAGGAAGUAAAAGUCGUAACAAGGUUUCCGUAGGUGAACCUGCGGAAG
rnacentral:rRNA from 1 species